GACAGCAGUCGCCACGGUAAUACGUAGGGUGCGAGCGUUAAUCGGAAUUACUGGGCGUAAAGCGUGCGCAGGCGGUUAUAUAAGACAGAUGUGAAAUCCCCGGGCUCAACCUGGGAACUGCAUUUGUGACUGGCAAGCUAGAGUCUGGCAGAGGGGGGUGGAAUUCCGCGUGUAGCAGUGAAAUGCGUAGAUAUGCGGAGGAACACCGAUGGCGAAGGCAGCCCCCUGGGCCAACACUGACGCUCAUGCACGAAAGCGUGGGGAGCAAACAGGAUUAGAUACCCCAGUAGUCCCUGUCUCUUAUAC
rnacentral:rRNA from 1 species